GUGAUGCUAGGAAGCCAUUAUUGAGUCGCAAAUUCAAGGUCCGAGGCAUCCCUAUGCUUGUAGCCAUCGGACCAACUGGAAAAACUGUUACAAAAGAGACCAGGAAUCUGAUCAUGGCUCAUGGGGCUGAUGCUUAUCCUUUCACUGAGGAGCGUUUGAAGGAGAUUGAGGCACAAUAUGAGGAGAUGGCAAAGGGUUGGCCUGAGAAACUGAAACAUGAACUGCACAAGGAGCACGAGCUCGUACUCACUCGUCG
rnacentral:lncRNA from 1 species